CACGACAACACUGAUCGCUCCAUCAGCUUCCUUGUUGACAUCCACAAAGCCUGUGCAGCUGUACCGGCCACGCCCAUCGUCAAUGCCCUCUGGCGGGUGUCUGUUCCAGCCGACGUCACACCCCUGGCUGGCUUCCCCCUCCUUUUCCAUGGCACCUGUGUGGACGACAGCAACCGUGACCGAUGCAUCAGCUCCAUUUCUCCGAACGUCACCAAAUAAGGACAUAGGGUGAAGAAGACGCAGCUGAGGAAGACUCCGCAGCCUUUUAUCACCGAACACCAGGAGACAGAAGGAUGACCCCCUAGCAACAACCAGCGCAGGCGCAGAGAACUCCGAGAUAACAUGGACUCCUGAAGGAUGGAGAGGAUAAAAGGACUGAAUCAGAAACUAGUUGGUGCGGCAGUAGGUGGAGCGGAGACUCCCCUGUCGCCCAGCGCUGAGCCUUUGCUUAUGUAGUAUAACUGCUUCAAUAAUUAAUAAAUUCUUUGAUUGGAAAUUA